rnacentral:lncRNA from 1 species
AGGGCCUCAAACAUUCAAUGUAUGCUAAGUUUAGGAUAAUAUGUGGGGAACCAAACUCUAAUAUAGACACAAGUGAGUGAUGGGUGGAGUGGUAGAGGAGGCUACGCGCGAGGAUGAGGCUACCAGUUUCAUAUUUUCUGGAUAAAUGUUUCCAUUGAUAGUUGGCUAAGAAAACCGUCUAUGGAAAUCUAUUUGCACUGGGUUGUCAAACCAAACGCCUCUAGAAAUAGAUUUUCCACGGGAGGUUCUCAAUUAACCAACAGUGAAAAGAUUCAUUUCUACUAGCCCCUACCGCUGGCAGUUCUGAGAAACGUCUGUAGAAAUGGCUUACGAACCACCUGUAGAGCCAUGACUUUUCAGACAAACAAACAGGCUAGCUAGAAUGUUUUGUGACUAGAGACUCCUCUAACUUGUAUACUCUAUGUAACUAGGUUACUUUUAUAGGCACAUUUUUUUCAUGGAGCUUGUCAUUAACUUACUCUAUCAUGAUGGCCAAGGUGCAUAUAUAUAUAUAUGCAUGGGCAGCACCUAUUGAAAUAAAUAAUUAACCUACCAGUACCAGCCGCGCAUAGGAUGCACUCAACUUUACUAUAUACAUGAUCUGGCGCUACAACUUACCACACCACAUAUGUGAAAAACGAGCAGGAAAUUUGGGGUUCUAUAUGUGCAUUUUGAUAGUUUCAAAGUCAACUUGACUGUUUUUCCUAGCACACACCAGGGUUUGACCAAUGUUGGGUGCAAACAUAUGCCUCUUAUUCUUUAGUAGAGCUUGCACACUAAAAAGUAUUAUUCUGAUUUGGAAUUAGCUAAUGGAAAUAAUUAACAAUUCAUCGACCAUAUUUGUUCUAAGAAAGAUAAUCAUGUUUUUCAGCCAUAAUGCUUAAUCAAGCUCCAACUGACAUAGAAAGAAUUUGCUUCAGCCACCAUACUUUCUUAGAAGAUGUAGAGUUUACUGGAAUCGCCCCCACUUGUUGAUCCAUUGAUCCUUCCUUGUGCAUUCACUGUAAUCUUCUCUGUUGUGUGGAGAUAAGACCUAGUGUCUGAGUGGCAACGCCUUGGCUACAGAUACUUAAACACUUUUUUGUUGCCCUUCUCACUUCUUUUAUCACCAGCAAAUGCAUUCUUGACCAGGUUAUUGUUGACAACAACCGGUCUUCGUGAUGGAUCACCGUUUGAGUAUGAAAUAGGAUAUAAUGUUUGUGAUUUGUUUUGGGUG